rnacentral:rRNA from 1 species
ACCGCAUAAGCGCACGAGGCGACAUCGCCCUGUGUGAAAAACUCCGGUGGUACAGGAUGGGGCCCGCGUCUGAUUAGCCGGUUGGCAGGGUAACGGCCCACCAAGGCGACGAUCAGUAGCCGUCCUGAGAGGAUGACCGGCCACAUUGGAACUGAGACACGGUCCAAACUCCUACGGGAGGCAGCAGUGGGGAAUAUUGCACAAUGGGGGAAACCCUGAUGCAGCGACGCCGCGUGAGCGAAGAAGUAUUUCGGUAUGUAAAGCUCUAUCAGCAGGGAAGAUAAUGACUGUACCUGACUAAGAAGCCUCCCGGCUAAAUACGUGCCAGCAGCCGCGGUAAUACGUAGGGAGCAAGCGUUAUCCGGAUUUACUGGGUGUAAAGGGAGCGUAGACGGCAGGGCAAGUCAGAUGUGAAAGCCCGGGGCUCAACCCCGGAGACUGCAUUGGAAACUGUUCGGCUAGAGUACAGGAGAGGCAGGCGGAAUUCCUAGUGUAGCGGUGAAAUGCGUAGAUAUUAGGAGGAACACCAGUGGCGAAGGCGGC